ACGCAGAAGAAAACGUGCGUCAACAAUUACGUGCAGAAGGAGUGAUGUAAUGUCUAAAGGUAAAAAACGUUCUGGCGCUCGCCCUGGUCGUCCGCAGCCGUUGCGAGGUACUAAAGGCAAGCGUAAAGGCGCUCGUCUUUGGUAUGUAGGUGGUCAACAAUUUUAAUUGCAGGGGCUUCGGCCCCUUACUUGAGGAUAAAUUAUGUCUAAU
rnacentral:rRNA from 1 species